rnacentral:rRNA from 1 species
UACAGAGGGGGCAAGCGUUGUCCGGAUUUAUUGGGCGUAAAGAGCGUGUAGGCGGCCAGGUAGGUCAGCUGUGAAAACUCGAGGCUCAACCUCGAGACGCUGGUUGAAACCAUCUGGCUAGAGUCCGGAAGAGGAGAGUGGAAUUCCCGUGUGAGCGGUGAAAUGCGCAGAUAUCGGGAAGAACACCUAUGGCGAAGGCAGCUCUCUGGGACGGUACUGACGCUGAGACGCGAAAGCGUGGGGAGCGAACAGG